UACAGGGGGGGGCAAGCGUUGUUCGGAAUUACUGGGCGUAAAGGGCCAGUAGGCGGCCAACUAAGUCCGACGUGAAAUCCCCAGGCUUAACCUGGGAACUGCGUCGGAUACUGGAUGGCUUGAAUUCGGGAGAGGGAUGCAGAAUUCCAGGUGUAGCGGUGAAAUGCGCAGAUAUCAGGAGGAACACCAAUGGCGAAGGCAGCUCACUGGGACGGUAUUGACGCUGAGACGCGAAAGCGUGGGGAGCAAACAGG
rnacentral:rRNA from 1 species